AGAGCCCACUGCAGGUCAAACACUCACUGAAGCCUGUAGUACACUUACUCAUCAAUAGAGCCCACUACAGGUCAAACACUCACUGAAGACUGUAGCAUACUUACUCAUCAAUAGAGCCCACUGUGGUGUCAGACACUCACUGAAGACUGUAGCAUACUUACUCAUCAAUAGAGCCCACUACAAGUCAAACACUCACUGAAGACUGUAGCAUACUUACUCAUCAAUAGAGCCCACUACAGGUCAAACACUCACUGAAGACUGUAGCAUACUUACUCAUCAAUAGAGCCCACUACAGGUCAAACACUCACUGAAGACUGUAGCAUACUUACUCAUCAAUAGAGCCCACUACAGGUCAAACACUCACUGAAGACUGUAGCAUACUUACUCAUCAAUAGAGCCCACUACAGGUCAAACACUCACUGAAGACUGUAGCAUACUUACUCAUCAAUAGAGCCCACUACAGGUCAAACACUCACUGAAGACUGUAGCAUACUUACUCAUCAAUAGAGCCCACUACAGGUAAACACUCACUGAAGACUGUAGCAUACUUACUCAUAAAUAGAGCCCACUACAGGUCAAACACUCACUGAAGACUGUAGCAUACUUACUCAUCAAUAGAGCCCACUGUGGUGUCAGACACUCACUGAAGACUGUAGCAUACUUACUCAUCAAUAGAGCCCACUACAAGUCAAACACUCACUGAAGACUGUAGCAUACUUACUCAUCAAUAGAGCCCACUACAGGUCAAACACUCACUGAAGACUGUAGCAUACUUACUCAUCAAUAGAGCCCACUACAG